GACGAACGCUGGCGGCGUGCUUAACACAUGCAAGUCGAACGGAAAGGCCCUGCUUUUGUGGGGUGCUCGAGUGGCGAACGGGUGAGUAACACGUGAGUAACCUGCCCUUGACUUUGGGAUAACUUCAGGAAACUGGGGCUAAUACCGGAUAGGAGCUCCUGCUGCAUGGUGGGGGUUGGAAAGUUUCGGCGGUUGGGGAUGGACUCGCGGCUUAUCAGCUUGUUGGUGGGGUAGUGGCUUACCAAGGCUUUGACGGGUAGCCGGCCUGAGAGGGUGACCGGCAACAUUGGGACUGAGAUACGGCCCAGACUCCUACGGGAGGCAGCAGUGGGGAAUAUUGCACAAUGGGCGGAAGCCUGUUGCAGCAACGCCGCGUGCGGGAUGACGGCCUUCGGGUUGUAAACCGCUUUCGCCUGUGACGAAGCGUGAGUGACGGUAAUGGGUAAAGAAGCACCGGCUAACUACGUG
rnacentral:rRNA from 1 species